rnacentral:tRNA from 1 species
AGCAGAUGGGCCGAGUGUUAAGGGGACUGACGAGAAAUCAGUGUCCCGCUGGGAGCGUAGGUUCGAUCCUACCAGCUG